GACGAAGGGGGCUAGCGUUGUUCGGAAUUACUGGGCGUAAAGCGCGUGUAGGUGGUUGUCCAAGUUGGAUGUGAAAGCCUUGAGCUCAACUCAAGAAAUGCAUUCAGGACUGGGCGGCUAGAGGACCGGAGAGGAUAGUGGAAUUCCCAGUGUAGUGGUGAAAUACGUAGAGAUUGGGAAGAACACCAGUGGCGAAGGCGGCUAUCUGGACGAUGACUGACGCUGAGACGCGAAAGCGUGGGGAGCAAACAGG
rnacentral:rRNA from 1 species